rnacentral:rRNA from 1 species
GACGAACGCUGGCGGCGUGCCUAAUACAUGCAAGUCGAACGCUGAAGGAGGAGCUUGCUUCUCUGGAUGAGUUGCGAACGGGUGAGUAACGCGUAGGUAACCUGCCUGGUAGUGGGGGAUAACUAUUGGAAACGAUAGCUAAUACCGCAUAAUAGCAGUUGUUGCAUGAUAACUGUUUGAAAGGUGCAAUUGCACCGCUACCAGAUGGACCUGCGUUGUAUUAGCUAGUUGGUGGGGUAACGGCUCACCAAGGCGACGAUACAUAGCCGACCUGAGAGGGUGAUCGGCCACACUGGGACUGAGACACGGCCCAGACUCCUACGGGAGGCAGCAGUAGGGAAUCUUCGGCAAUGGACGGAAGUCUGACCGAGCAACGCCGCGUGAGUGAAGAAGGGUUUCGGAUCGUAAAGCUCUGUUGUAAGAGAAGAACGAGUGUGAGAGUGGAAAGUUCACACUGUGACGGUAUCUUACCAGAAAGAGACGGCUAACUACGUG